rnacentral:rRNA from 1 species
UACGGGGGCAGCAAGCGUUGUUCGGAAUUACUGGGCGUAAAGAGUGUGUAGGCGGUGUUCUAAGUCUGGUGUGAAAUCUCCCGGCUCAACUGGGAGGGUGCGCUAGAAACUGGAAUGCUAGAGGAUGGGAGAGGUAAGCGGAAUUCCUGGUGUAGCGGUGAAAUGCGUAGAUAUCAGGAGGAACACCUGUGGUGUAGACAGCUUACUGGACCAUUUCUGACGCUGAGACACGAAAGCGUGGGUAGCAAACAGG